GACGAACGCUGGCGGCGUGCCUAACACAUGCAAGUCGAACGAGGUCCAUGCAGUGGCAACACUGCGGAAGACCUAGUGGCGAACGGGUGAGUAACACGUGAGGAACCUGCCCCGAAGACCGGGAUAACCCUCCGAAAGGAGAGCUAAUACCGGAUACCCCCACCGGAUCGCAUGAUCUGGUGAGGAAAUGGAUUCCGCUUCGGGAGGGCCUCGCGGCCUAUCAGCUUGUUGGUGGGGUAACGGCCCACCAAGGCAUCGACGGGUAGCUGGUCUGAGAGGACGAUCAGCCACACUGGGACUGAGACACGGCCCAGACUCCUACGGGAGGCAGCAGUGGGGAAUCUUGCGCAAUGGGCGAAAGCCUGACGCAGCAACGCCGCGUGGGGGAUGAAGGCUCUCGGGUUGUAAACCCCUUUCAGCAGGGACGAAUCAAGACGGUACCUGCAGAAGAAGCCCCGGCUAACUACGUGCCAGCAGCCGCGGUAAU
rnacentral:rRNA from 1 species